AAUAGCUACCGAUGCUUGCCGUGGACAGAAACUGCAGCUGAAUUCUCUCAUAAAAGCCUGGGAAUGAUGGCCUCAUAUGUAUAGCUGAACUUUUACUGAAGCACUGAGCUGUGAUUAGUGCAAUUAAGUGAGUAAAGACCAGACUCCAUUACAAAACUGGGGAUAGGAAGAGCGAUAUAUGGACAAAAGAAUGAAAGAAAAGCAGUCACUGAAGGAAAAGAAAAUCGGAGAGAGAGAAACAGGAUGCGAGUGGAGAGGGGCAGGAAUAGAGGAACAUGCAAAAUCCGAAGCAAGCUCCAGGCUCUGAGCUUUCAUCACAGAGGCAGAUGCAUGGCUUGAACUUACAAACCAUGAGAUCGUGACCUGAGCUGAAGACAGAAGCUUAAUAUACUGAGCCAUCCAGGCACUCUUAAAGCCUCACAUUUAAAUCACUGUUUCCUUUGGUUAGAUUAAAAAAUGAUGAUCAACAUAUUAGAUGUUGAAAGUAAAACUUACUUUUAUUACUUUUAUUAAAUUCUCCACAGGAAAUAAUAUACGUAAUAGAUCAAUGACGUUUGUAAUUUAAUUCUGUUUAUCAGAGUCCUUUUUGAAAAAUAGUAAAGGAAUUUAUAAUACU